rnacentral:lncRNA from 1 species
UCCUGGUAACUAUGAUGAGUUUAUUAGUAAAGGGAACCAUAUCAUUUGAGUCACUGAUGAAUUUUCCUAUUGAAUAUAAUUCUGAUUAAAAUGUUCCCUUUUAAUCAAACUCAAAAUCUGCUGCUGGGAUAGUUUUCUUCCGAUUAGGUUUUUCUCCUCCGUUUCGACGGCAUAAUUACCUUCAGUUUUUUUUAAAUAGGAAAGGCAAUGGUAUUCAAAUAAACUACCAACAACACAUAUACAGAUACAGAUACUUUAUUUGCCAAUCACGGCGCCUUAGAAUU